UUUUAAAAAAUACAGGAGCUGGCCAAAUAGGAAAGUGAAGUUCAUUGGUGAACAUACUAAAUUGUAACUAAUUAUUCACAAUCAUCUGUAUAUUGGCUUAGAUGAUCACACUAUGUAUUAGACACAGCUAAACUCAAGGGAUGUUAAAUGUAGAUCAAACUCUAAUCCUACUUAAUUUGUUUUGUUGGAUGAUAAAUAUUUGUCACAAGUAUAACAUGUGAUUCCACCAUGUUCUUACAGUUGUAACUAUAAUUAAUGAAAAUUUUAAUACAUUUAUAAGAUAAAUCAAACAUAGCAUAGUUGAUUAUACAUUUAGUACUAUGGAACUAUUGAUAAAUGAUGGGAGUAAUUUACACUUUCAUCACAGCAAAAAAGGAGUCACAGUUUCUUCUACUUGGCCAAUAACAUUUUUAUUACAUUUUUUUCACGAAAUUUGAUAUUUAUUGGACUUUAAUAAGUGUAGGCUAAUCAUAUUACAUAUACUAGGUCAAGGGCCAAAAAGAAAUUAAUAUACUAGAGAGUUAGAAUUUUAAUAAAUACAGGAAAUGCAUGUGAAUCUCUAGCACUGGAGUUCUGAUUACUGAUACUGCCAUCAAAUGCAACAGCUUUGUGUGUGUGUGUAUGUGUAUUAUGUUAUCUUUUGAUGGUAAAGGCUAAAAAUGCAUUCUGGAUUUCUUUUUUUAAAAAAAAUAUGUUCUUUAUUGAUUUUAGAGAGAG